CAAAGAAUAAGAAUAGAGAGAAAUGCUAUAGAAGAGAGACAAUGUUUUGAUGAAAACUAUUUCAGCCAAACCACUAAGAGUUUAUUUUGAGUAAUGCUCACCUUUUAAUGAUACAGAAUUUUAUUUUGUUUACCCAUUGUUGUGCACUUUGGUCACAAGUGCAAAUAUAUAUUGCUUUUAUUAAAAAGGAUUAGGCUAGGCUUACUGCUCUGUGGGUCACUGAGUGGAACUCUAUGGACAACAAGAUAAAAAGCUGCUGCCUUGAAAAAGAACAUUCAGAGCGAAGAUGUCUUCCAGUCCCUACUGAAGAAAGGCAACCUCACAGCUUGAUGCCACCGUCUGUGUCGUUUGGUACCAGUUGGGUUUCUGACAAUCCGCCCAAAAUAUACAUGCAGAGUUGGAUUUCAUCUAAGACAAAUUCAAGGCUUUUUUGAGCUGUUCCGUCCAAAAUCGCUCUGCUCUUUGGUUGUGAGGAGAUAGCAUGCAACUGAUUAUGGUUAUUUGUGCAAAAGAGCAUCCUGCUGUUGAAGAAAACACCAGCUCCAAGUCGAUUAAGACUAAGCUGUUAAGCAAAUGCAAGAGAAAACAAAAAAUAAUGAGCUACCACUGGCUGAAAAGCACUGCAGCAGUCCAGAUAUUUCCAUGAGUCAGUCACUGUUAGGAGCUGCUUUAUUCAAAUAGAACACAUGGGGUUGUAGGAUGUUUGAUUUCAUUCGCUAUUUACCAUCAGUGUUGUGAGGAACUGAAAUUGAACAAAAAAGAUUUGACCAGUAUAUAUACUUCAGUGCAUUUUAUAGACCACAAGCAAGAUAUGGCGUAUUAUGUUUUAUAAAGAUUUGAGAGCAGGACGAAAAGUAUCAAAGUUUGUUGUGACGUUAAUAGUGAAUUCAUUACUUAUUUUAUCAUUUGGUGAUUGAUUUUUUUGUGUUUUAUUUCCUGUUCAAACUUGUUCAAGCAUUGUAAAUUGAUGAUUUUCUUAGUUUAUUUUUUUUAAUUAUGAAUUAGAAUCAGAUUUAUUGACCAAGACUGUGCAUACAAACAAGAAAUUUGACAGCAGCUUCACACACUCGCUCACAGUAUGCAAACAUUAAGUAUUAAUUUAUAACAUAAACUAUAAAAACAAUAUGUGCACAAAAGGAUGUCUGCUUGUGCAGCCAGCAGGCAGAUUGUGGUAGUGCAAAUAAGCUUAUUUUGUUUCAAAGUGGAGUAGCUGACUACUUAGGACAGACUGAAAAAAUGGCUGUGAAGAUGAUGAUAAACAGCUCCUUUGAAAGGUUUUACUCCUUGAGUUGCUGUCAGUAGUAUGGUCUCUGCUGGGCCUUCUUCCAAACAGUGCAGGAUGAUGUAAAGUUCUAGACUGACUGCAUCAUCUGCAAACCUGCUUGCCACUGCAGGGGGUCAGGAGACAGCCUAUGAUGACCUUCAGAUGCUUCAACAGCAGUCACUGUAUUUCAUGAUCACAGAUGUAAGAGUCUGCAGUCACUUAACCUUGUGACAGAGCGUUUCUUAUGGACAAGGAUGAUGGUGGAACGUUUUAAGCAAAUGUCAAAAUAAUUUGAAAUCAACCUUUUCACAGCAAGGCAUCAGUAAAUAAUUAAUGGAUUCAGAGAGAAAACAGGAGUGUUAUAAUAACUGUAGAGGAACCAGUAAUUUACCACAAAUUGCUUGGCUUUUUAAUGGAAGUGAACCAUUAAUGGACUCUACUUAGUGAAUAAUAAUAAUAAUAAAAACUGUUAUUACUACUUUGCUGUCAAGAUUUUAAACUUUAUUGUAUUUUAUCAAGAUUUAGGUUUGGUAGGAUAAGAGUAGGGGAGCAUGGGCACAAUAUAUAUGUAUAUAUAUCUUUGUAUAUUCUAAGUAAUUUUCUUGUGUCUUCUUAUUUUAACUUAACUGCUCUACGCUGCUUUUAUCUUUUAUUUAUCUGCUCAACACUGUUUCAUUAAAAUAUUCCAAAGAUGAAACAUUUAAUGAAAUACACAAAAUAUUCAGCUUUAUGUAGAAAACAGAUCAUAUCAAAACAUCAUAAAAUAUCUUGCAUGAUUGUAAUUAAUGAUGACACUUGACAAAUGUCAUAUUUACUUGUUUCAUAAUUGGUUAUUGUGCUACAUUUUUAUUGUGUUUGCUGUAAUGUGUUAUGUAAUAAUCUUAACUUGACAUUAUUAUAAGACAGUCCUACAGUUUAAGAUAUUUUUUGGGUUGAUUUCUUCUUUUUUUUUCUUUAGUCUUAGCAACAAAGAUGGGACUUGGUUUUCGUUUACACAUAGCCUUUUGUGGGCAAACUAAAAAGUUUCAAUUGACCAGAGCUCCUUCAUGCACAUGUUUGCUGUUUACCUUACUUGGCUUGAAACAAACUGCCUCAACAGUGCUACACUGUGUUGGUCUAUCACAUAAAAUCCUUAUGGAAUUCA